CAGUCGCCGCGGUAAUACGUAGGUGGCAAGCGUUGUCCGGAAUUAUUGGGCGUAAAGCGCACGUAGGCGGAUAUUUAAGUCAGGGGUGAAAUCCCAGAGCUCAACUCUGGAACUGCCUUUGAUACUGGGUAUCUUGAGUAUGGAAGAGGUGAGUGGAAUUCCGAGUGUAGAGAUGAAAUUCGUAGAUAUACGGAGGAACACCGGUGGCGAAAGCGGCUCUCUGGUCUGUAACUGACGCUGAGGCUCGAAAGCGUGGGGAGCGAACAGGAUUAGAUACCCCUGUAGUCCCUGUCUCUUAUAC
rnacentral:rRNA from 1 species